GUCUAUGGCCAUGCUACUCUGAACAAGCCCGAUCUCAUCUGAUCUCGGAAGCCAAGCAAGGUCGGGCCUGGUUAGUACUUGGAUGGGAGACCACCUAGGAAGACCAGAUGCUGUAGACA
rnacentral:rRNA from 1 species